UCUAUAGAGUGUGCUUCUCUCUGCAUCUGAAUAAAACCACUUCUUAUUUAUCACUUUGUCUCUCACUGAAUUCUUUCUGUGAUGAGACAUCAAGAACCUGAGCUUUACUGGGUCCUGAAACCAGGACUCCUGGGACAAUUAAAUGGAAAGACAAGUAUCUUUGUUUUUUGGAAGCCAAAGCUAGAGUCGUCAGCUACCAGCCCCAGUUUCCCUGGAUCAGCAACGCAGCUCUGUGGUGAGGUGGUGGCCACAACCAAGCAUAUGUGACUACUUUUUCCUCUGGGUUACAUAUGCUAACCUUGGACUCAGAAUAAAGAUGUACAUUUGUUCAUUA